GGAAUAUUGGACAAUGGGCGCAAGCCUGAUCCAGCCAUGCCGCGUGAGUGAUGAAGGCCUUAGGGUUGUAAAGCUCUUUUACCAGGGAAGAUAAUGACGGUACCUGGAAAAUAAGCCCCGGCUAAAUUCGUGCCAGCAGCCGCGGUGAUACGACGGGGGCUAGCGUUGUUCGGAAUUACUGGGCGUAAAGCGCGCGUAGGUGGUCAUGCAAGUCAGAGGUGAAAUCCCACGGCUCAACCGUGGAACUGCCUUUGAAACUGCAUGGCUUGAGUUCGGAAGAGGUAAGUGGAAUUCCUAAUGUAGAGGUGAAAUUCGUAGAUAUUAGGAGGAACACCAGUGGCGAAGGCGGCUUACUGGUCCGACACUGACACUGAGGCGCGAAAGCGUGGGUAGCAAAC
rnacentral:rRNA from 1 species